CUUCUUCAUGGUUCUCAUCUU
rnacentral:siRNA from 1 species